rnacentral:snRNA from 1 species
GCCCGCGUCGCGAUAGUAAU